rnacentral:rRNA from 1 species
AUUGAACGCUGGCGGCAGGCCUAACACAUGCAAGUCGAACGGUAACAGGAAGCAGCUUGCUGCUUCGCUGACGAGUGGCGGACGGGUGAGUAAUGUCUGGGAAGCUGCCUGAUGGAGGGGGAUAACUACUGGAAACGGUAGCUAAUACCGCAUAAUGUCGCAAGACCAAAGAGGGGGACCUUCGGGCCUCUUGCCAUCGGAUGUGCCCAGAUGGGAUUAGAUUGUUGGUGGGGUAACGGCUCACCAAGGCGACUAUCCCUAGCUGGUCUGAGAGGAUGACCAGCCACACUGGAACUGAGCCACGGUCCAGACUCCUACGGGAGGCAGCAGAGGGGAAUAGUGGACAAUGGGCGCAAGCCUGAUGCAGCCAUGCCGCGUGUAUGAAGAAGGCCUUCGGGUUGUAAAGUACGUUCAGCGGGGAGGAAGGGAGUAAAGUUAAUACCUUGGCUCAUUGACGUUACCCGCAGAAGAAGCACCGGCUAACUCCGUG